AUGCAUAUGAGAUCGGAUAUAGUUCUGAUGAGAUUUUCCUUGUCAUUCCUGGAUCAAAAUAGCUUUUACUGUGCACUAUUUCUUGCGUUCAUUGCUCUACAGGUUUUGCCGCCUUCGUCAGUACAACACACUUUACAUCUGUGGGACGGAUGAAUACGGCACAGCCACAGAAACCAAGGCGUUAGAGGAAGGUCUUACACCCCAACAAAUAUGUGACAAGUACUUUAAGAUUCACAAAGAAGUCUACGAAUGGUUUCAGAUCAAGUUUGACUUCUUUGGAAGGACAACUACUAAGCAACAGACUGAAAUCGCCCAAGACAUUUUCUGGCGACUCCAAAAGCAAGAUCAC